rnacentral:rRNA from 1 species
AUGGAAGAAACGUCGCUGGAGGCCGCGAUUGGGUGGCUGGUGCAGGCCAUCUAUGCCAGCCUCCUAGUUGGCGGCGAGCUCGAUGCUUGGAUUCGCCGGGCUGGGCUCGCGGAUGACAUCGAGAGGCUCAGAUCUGAGGUCGAGGGAGUCGAGAUGGUGGUCUCUGCUGUCAAGGGGAGGGCGAUCGGGAACAAGCCGCUGGCCCGAUCGCUCGCCCGCAUCAGGGAGCUGCUCUACGGCGCGGAUGAUCUGGUGGACGAGCUCGACUACUGGAGGCUCCAGCAGCAGCUGGAACUGGAAGGAGGCGCAAGGCACGACCUUGAUGAACCGAAUGCACAUGGAUCACUGCAAUUGGAAAGAUCGACUGAGAGUAGCAGUGUUGACAGAUUAGGGUCCGAGUCCUGGGGACACUUUGAUAUCGAGGAGUUCCAUGAAAAUGGAGGGCCUGGCGGAGCAAGAUGUAAACACUGUCGUGCCAUGGUUGUGUGCACAGCUGACAAGGGGACACCUGUUUUGCGCAAGCAUCUCAAGAGUAAAGGUUGUAAGAAGAAACGUGGAGCGAGUGAACCUUCAAGCACUGGUGAUGCUACUGCAAGUGCUACUUCUACUGCAACUGAUGGUAUUUCAUCCACCAGAAACAUGAGAGAGGCUGAGGUUGAGGAGCCAAAACACGGCACCAUAUCCGAGACAUACACUUGGGAUAAGGACAACUUUUCCAAUAGGAUAAAAGACAUAACUCAUCAGCUGCAAGGCAUCCGAGGAGAUGUGAGAGCGGCUCUGAUGAUACUUGGGUCAGACUCUAGCGCAAGUUCAAAUCACCAUGUAGAACAUCCACACCGUAGAACAUCAAGUCUUGUUCAGGGAAAAGUUUAUGGGAGGGAUCAUGAGAAGGCAGAAAUCAUACGGCUGGUAAAAAGACACAAAUUAUCUAGCAGUGUAACUGUUCUGACUGUUUUAGGCAUUGGUGGGGUUGGGAAGACAACCCUUGCUCAACUGGUAUACAACGAUCCAUCCGUGGAAAGUCAAUUUGACCAUAGGAUAUGGAUUUCAGUGUCCAACAAAUUUGAUGAAACGAGAAUCUCAAGAGAGAUGUUGGAUUUUGUGUCCCAAGGAACACAUGAAGGGCUGUACAGCUUUGCCAGGCUUCAGGAGGUCUUGAGAGGUUGUAUUAAAUCAAAGAGGGUUCUACUUGUUUUAGAUGAUGUCUGGGAUGACAUGAAUGAUUGCCAGUGGAACCAACUAUUAGCCCCUUUCAAUUCUGACAAUGCAAAAGGCAAUAUCAUACUUGUGACAACUAGAAAACCAUCUGUUGCAAAAAGGAGAGGUACGGUUGAACCAAUUAAGUUACCUGGUUUGAAAGAAGAUGAUUUUUGGAUAUUGUUUAAAGCGUGUGUGUUUGGUGAUGAGAACUAUGAAGUGAAAGGUAGUCUUAGGACUUUGGCAUGGCAGAUAAUAGAAAAGUUGAAAGGAAACCCGCUAGCUGCAGAAACUGCAGGGGCAUUAUUAAGACAGCAUCUUACCAGUGAACAUUGGAGUAACAUUCUGAAGAACGAAGAUUGGAAAUCCCUGCAUCUCACAAGAGGCAUUAUGCCUACUUUGAAGCUUUGUUAUGAUCAACUGCCCUACCAUUUACAACAAUGCUUCUCAUAUUGUGCUAUAUUCCCUUGCAAUUAUCGGUUUCUCGCUGAGGAGAUAGUUCGUAUUUGGAUUUCACAGGGAUUUGUGAAGUGUAGUCAUUCAGGUAUGAGAUUGGAUGAGAUAGGACGGCUCUAUCUGACUAAUUUAGUGAACCUGGGCUUCUUUCAGCAGAUUGAAGAAGGCUACUCUUCAAACAAUCAAACUACUUAUGUUAUGUGUGCUCUUAUGCAUGAUUUCGCAAGGGUAAUUUCAAGAGCUGAGUGUGCAACUUUGGAUGCUCUACAGUGCAAUGAAAUUUCAUCAACUGUGCUACAUUUGUCAAUAGUAACUGGUCGUGUGUAUUGGUAUGAUGAGAAGUUUCAAGAGAUAUUGCGAAAUACAUUGAAAAAAGUAAAAAAUUUGAGAUCAUUGGUCUUAAUUGGACAGUACGACUCCCAAUUGUUCCAACAAGUAUUUGAGAAGGCACACAAUUUGCGUCUGUUACAAGUAUCUGCAACUGCUGGGUCUCAUUCCUUCCUAUGCGGUUUGGUAAAUCCUACACAUCUUCGGUAUCUAAACCUACAGGAUGCUCAUGUUUGGCCGGAAGAUUUACCUCAAGUUUUGAGCAAGUUUCUCCACCUUCAAGUAUUAGAAGUUGGCUUAUGCCAUGAUACUUCGUUUACCCUUGAGCGGAUGGUUAAUCUAGAGGAUUGUGGUGAAAGGCUUAUAUUUCCAUCUCUGGAAAGACUUCCGUUUCUUACGACGUUCAAGUUGAGCAACCUGCGGAAAAUUAGAGAAGUAUCAGUUCCAUCAUUGCAGGAGCUGAUUUUAGUUGAAAUGCCAGAGUUGGAGAGAUGUACCUGCACUUCCCUAGGGGAUUUGAACUCUAGUUUAAGGGUACUGGAGAUUCGGAGCUGCCCUGCACUCAAGGUGUUCGAUCUGUUUGAGAAAGGUCAUAACUUUGCUGAGCAGCCGUCAUUGUUUGAAGGUCAUAACUACGGAACUGGGUGGAAGCUAUGGUUGCCCGGUCUUAGAGUACUCACAGUAAUCAAUUGUCCUCAUUUACUGAUGCCGUGUCUCCUACCACAUUCAACUAAUGUUUCUAGACUGCACAUCGACGGAGUUCCAACACUUCUGAAGAUGGAGGGAUCGUCCACAGAAAAACUAGAAAUUUCUCCAAAUAGUCGAUCUGGUGAGAAUUCCGGUGAGACAUUGAGAUUGGAUGGAAAAAUAUUGUCAUUCCAUAAUUGGGGGGACCUAAAAUCCUUGAGCAUAUCAUUUUGUGGAAACCUAACAUCUAUUUCAUUUCGAAGUCUUAAUCAGCUCUUCUCUUUAAGGGAUCUCCGUAUAGUAGGGUGCAGAAAACUUUUCUCUUCAGAUGUUCGGCCAGAGCUUACUGAUGAAUAUGCGAUAGGUGCAUAUCGGUUUGGCCUCCGGUGUCUCAGAAGUCUCUAUAUUAGUUCAUCAGGAAUAACAGGGAAGUGGUUAUCUUUGAUGUUGCAACAUGCGCAGAUCCUGAAGGAAUUGUGCUUAAAUGACUGCCCUCAGUUUACACAGUUACAGAUCGAAGAGGAAGAGAACAGUCAACCAAAUUUUAUCUCAGCCCCAGAGACUUCAUCAAGCUGGGGUCCAGAUGGACUUUUGUGCAUUCCAUUAAAUCUCACCUCCUCUCUAGAAAAGAUAGCUAUUUCUCGAAGCCCUUAUUUGAGAUUUUACGGGAACAAGGAAGACUUUGCUGGAUUUACCUCCCUGCAGGAGCUAAUAAUUCGAUGCUGUCCUGGGCUGCUCUCAUCCUUGGUGCAUAAUGACGGAAAUGAUGUCCAGGCAAACAGAAUAUGGCUUCUUCCGCAGCCACUUGGACAAGUUGUGAUCAGUCAUUAUGACCACAAAACACUAUCACUCUGCUUCAUGGGUAAUCUCACUUGUCUCAAAAAAUUGGAAGUAUUGGAAAGCCCAGGCUUGGAAUCUCUACAGCUGCAUUCCUGCACAUUGCUUGAAGAUUUGAGAAUUCGUGAAUGCAAACAGCUUGCCACAGUAAAGGGAAUGCAAUCCCUUGUGAACCUCAUGAAUUUGGAAGUACAAGAAAACCCUAGUUUGGUAUCUCUACAGUUGCAUUCCUGCAGGUCGCUGGAAGAUCUGAGAAUUGAAAAAUGUGAAUCACUCAUCGCACUAGAGGGCUUGCAAUCCCUUGUGAACCUCAGGAAUUUGGCCCUACUCAACUCCCCUGGCUUGCCUCCAUAUUUCGAACGUUUGUCGGGGCACUAUGAGCUGGGCCCUCGACUCGAAAGUCUUCACAUUGAUGACUUGUCUCUCCUUACCAUGUCACUGUGCAAUGGCCUCACUUGCCUCCAAUGCCUACGACUUGAGAAGCUGGAACAGGGAGGGACAAGACUAACAGAUGAGCAAGAGAGAGCGCUACUGCUCCUCAGGUCCCUGCAAAACCUUGAAUUUCUUGAUUGUUUCAACCUCGUACAUCUUCCUGUGAGACUGCACAGCCUUCCUUCCCUCAAGGCAUUGAGUAUCGUUUGUUGUGAUGACAUCCCAAGGCUGCCUAAGAAGGGCCUCCCAUCUUCGCUGGAAAGGCUAGUGAUAUACGAUUGCAGUACUGAGCUAAAAGAACAGUGUGAAUCGCUAACAAGAGGCAAGCUAAGGGUUGUGAUGAAUGACUGAAUUUUGCGCAGGGCGAUGCAGAAACAUCUUCUUUCAAGAUUCAAGACGCGUGUCCUUGUUUGGGGAUAUGUGCUACAGCUCACCGCUAGGUUUACAACUGUUCUACCAUUGAUCAUGUUAUCUUGUGAAUUGACAUAACUCAGCGUCGUGCUAAAAUGAGCAGUCUCUCUGCAAGCAUUUGAAGAUGUUGAACAUAUUGUUGAUGCAGUAACCAUCUUUAGGAUCAUGACAUAUACCGUAUAAUUAUAAGAGUUUUGGUGUCUCAUAAUCUCAUCUCUGCUAUUAACAUGUUCGGAUUUCUGGAAGCAAACUGGUAAUUUUUGCUCUAUUAUUGCCGUCAUGCCAACUAAAAGCAGUCAACAGUUUCUGGCCCAGUAGGUCGGUGUGGCCCGAGUGCUUUGUAAUUGUAAACUGGAUGGUGUGGUUUCAUCAAAUGGAAUCGGGGUGAGAGCCCUUUUGAUCUAAAAAAGGAAAAGAGCAGUCAACAGGUAACCCUAUCUGUUUCAUUAUUUGUUAUUCAGUCUCAUAUUGUGGACUGAAAUAGCUGAUUAAUGACUGCAUGCAGAAGAUGCAUCCACAGAUGCAUGUGGCCUCAAUGCCUUUAUGCAGCUGGCUUUAUGUCAUUUCGUAGACUGAAAAUUUUCUGAAUUCAUUCCUUCCACCUGAAGUAGAAGACUUUUUAUGGUGUCAGUUAGUAAGCUAGCUAUCUGAACACUGUAGAACAUGUUGAGACAAUAUUAACCUAUUAAAGGACCAGUAUUCGUUUCGUCAACCAACAGUUAUGUCACAGUUAUAAGCUAGCUAUCUGAAUAAACUUAACUUUGCUUCGCUGAAAGUGACACUUAAGUACUUGAUAAAUAUUUGGCUUCAGGUUUGAGUAAGAAGUGGCAGUGAAGUCCUUGUCAUGAUAAUCGGUGUAUUACAUUGCGUUGCAAAACUCAAGUUUCUUGUCACCUGUUCUUAAUGUCCAGCAUGGAAUUCAAGAUAUUGCUGUGGAAUGGCCAAAGUCUGUGUUGCAUUCCAUUGCAUUGCAUGCGUGUGGCUAGAAAUUGCUGACUUGCCGGCAUGAAGUAAAUCAGCCUGAUUCCAUGCAAAGUCAGUGGUACUUUCUGCUAUCGGAGAUGCAUGCUGUAGAAUGUACUCCUGUAUACUCUGUAUUGCUCCGAGUUCUGCUUGCCAACUUACAGCUCCCCUGGCUCCGGCUAUGGAGCAAGGAGUGCAGAUUCAUGAUUCUGGAACAGCCGAACAGGGUGUUUUAAUCUGCGCAAAGUCAACAAGGAUUUCUAUUAGGAGCCAACCCUGAGCUAUAAUAAUACGAGACGAACAAAACCUCGCUCGUCGCCGUCCUGGCAUCCCGCUUGUCCCCACAUGCUCCGUAUUUCUGUCUCUGCUGGUGCCACCACUACUCCCUGCUUGUUGCUGCCAGUCGAGCAAGAUGUCCGGUGCUGCGGUGGACAAGGACAAGACGCCGACGGAGGAAGAGAAUAAGAAUCCGGCGUGGGAGGAUGAGGAGGAAAAGGAUCAGGCGAGAAAGGAGGUGGUUACAGGUCUGAACUUUGAUCCUCUUUCCCACCUAUACUUAGCAUGAUUUAUUUUCAGUAUUCUCUGUAGUUUAUAAGCAGCAAAUGCCACCAGGGAAUGCUCCAUGUUGUAAGAAAUUUGUGAACUCUGAACCUAGUCAAGUGCUUCUACUACAAGGUACUAUAUAGGUACCUGAUAUUUGGAAACUGUCAAAUGCCUUUACCUGCUCACACAAUAUCCCUGAAACAGCAACUGUUCCACUGGUUUUCUGAAACAGCAACUGUUACAGUGAAGAAAAACCCAUGACUGGUUUGUCACAGCCAAAGGUGGGUGCAGGAGAUGAUGAUGAUGCGCUGCUAAUAUUGGACUUGCCAGUGGACAGGUCUUCAGAGCAGCAGCCAUUGACUUGGAAAAGUUCGGGACUAAAAUUUGAUGUUCAGGAGAAUCAAAUUCAUCGUAAAUAAGGGGCUGCCAUUGACUUGUCGUUCGUCGCAAAGUUCAGGAGAAUCUGAAUGUAUGUUCAGAACUAUGAAAUCUGGUGUUCAAGCAGAUGUUCAGGAUGUGAAAUCUGAAACCUGAAUCCGAUGUUCAUGCUAAGCACUGAUGUAUGCUCACUGAGAUUAUGUUAGUUUUAAAACUGCUCGUUGCUCCGUUUGAUAAACUGAAUCUAACAUUGUAUCAAAUGGACCGAAGAUUUGCUCGUUGCGCAUUUGAAAAACUGAAUCUAACAUUCUAUCAAAU